CACGUAGGGCGCAAGCGUUGUCCGGAAUUAUUGGGCGUAAAGAGCUCGUAGGCGGCCUGUCGCGUCUGCUGUGAAAUCCCGGGGCUUAACCCCGGGCGUGCAGUGGAUACGGGCUGGCUGGAGGCAGGCAGGGGAGAAUGGAAUUCCCGGUGUAGCGGUGAAAUGCGCAGAUAUCGGGAGGAACACCGGUGGCGAAGGGCGGUUCUCUGGGCCUGUUCUGACGCUGAGGAGCGAAAGCGUGGGGAGCGAACAGG
rnacentral:rRNA from 1 species